GGUGUUGAGUGCACAACAUGCACAUAUACAUUGUGAGACAUGGACAAACCCUUGCCAAUGUUGAACGGCUUAUUGCAGGCCACCAAGAUUUUCCUCUUACUGAGAUGGGGGUAGAUAACUCUGUCAGGACUGGACAGUUGUUGAAUAGGACAACUUUUAACAAGAUACACUGUAGUGACCUUGGGAGGACAAAAGACACUCUUCUUAACAUCGGCCAUACUAGUGCAACCUUUGAUAAGCGCUUGAGAGAGCGUGAUUUUGGAGUUUGGUCUGGGAAACUUUGGUCAGAAUAUAUUGAUGCCAGCAAAGAUAUGAAAGAUGGUAUUUUUCUGCAUGAUUUGCCUGGAGUUGAAUCCAAUGAAGAAAUGAACAUAAGGCUAAAAGACUUCUUGGCUGAUCUAGUGAAUAUGCAUGAAAAGAGUCCCCAUAAUGAGAAUGUUCUCAUUGUAUCUCAUAAAGGAACGAUAAGAGCACUUGUUUGUCUUCUACUUAAAAACUCCAGUUAUGAUGCUCAUAAUGUACAAUCAACUAAUUGUCCAAUAGGCUACAAUUGUGUGUCACAUUUUGAAUUAGAAAUAAGUGAUAAAACAAUACAAAACUGUAAAGUAUUGAAGCUUUUCGACUGCAGUCAUUUGAUCUGAGAUUGACUUCUUUCCAUAUUUUUUGUGUUGUUAUGUUUCUAGCUUAAUACUAUUUAUACACGUUUUAUCGUCACAAUAAAUUAUUUUUAGAGCAAU